AGUGAACGCUGGCGGUAGGCCUAACACAUGCAAGUCGAACGGCAGCACAGUAAGAGCUUGCUCUUACGGGUGGCGAGUGGCGGACGGGUGAGGAAUACAUCGGAAUCUACUUUUUCGUGGGGGAUAACGUAGGGAAACUUACGCUCAUACCGCAUACGACCUACGGUUGAAAGCAGGGGAUCUUCGCACCUUGCGCGAUUGAAUGAGCCGAUGUCGGAUUAGCUAGUUGGCGGGGUAAAGGCCCACCAAGGCGACGAUCCGUAGCUGGUCUGAGAGGAUGGUCAGCCACACUGGAAGUGAGACACGGUACAGACACCUACGGGAGGCAGCAGUGGGGAAGAUAGGACAAUGGGCGCAAGACUGAUCCAGCCAUACCGCGUGGGUGAAGAAGGCCUGCGGGUUGUAAAGCCCUUUUGUUGGGAAAGAAAAGCAGCAGGUUAAAACCCCGCUGUUCUGACGGUACCCAAAGAAUAAGCACCGACUAACUUCGU
rnacentral:rRNA from 1 species